rnacentral:rRNA from 1 species
AGAGUUUGAUCCUGGCUCAGAACGAACGCUGGCGGCAGGCCUCAAACAUGCAAGUCUAGGGGGUGUAGCAAUACAUCACCGGCGGACGGGUGCGUAACGCGUGGGAAUAUACCUAUUGGUUCGGAACAACUGAGGGAAACUUCAGCUAAUACCGGAUACGUCCUAACGGAGAAAGAUUUAUCGCCAAUAGAUUAGCCCGCGUUCGAUUAGCUAGUUGGUGGGGUAACGGCCCACCAAGGCGACGAUCGAUAGCUGUUCUGAGAGGAAGAUCAGCCACACUGGGACUGAGACACGGCCCAGACUCCUACGGGAGGCAGCAGUUGGGAAUCUUGGACAAUGGGGGAAACCCUGAUCCAGCCAUGCCGCGUGAGUGAUGAAGGCCUUCGGGUUGUAAAACUCUUUCGCGCACGACGAUAAUGACGGUAGUGCGAGAAGAAGCUCCGGCUAACUUCGUGCCAGCAGCCGCGGUAAUAC